rnacentral:rRNA from 1 species
AUGGAUAGCUCAGUUUUCUUCUACAUACUUUGUAGUUUCAAUGAUGACACAUAUAUGACAACUAUGGGUGUUGGCUCCAACAAUUCUCAUUGGUCUCAAACCAAUGAAGUGCAUGAAGACGAUCAUGAGUUUGAGGUGGACGAGGAUGGUGAGGGUAUAGCCGAUGCACCGAAAGGAGGAGCGGGCAACUACGCUAUGGAGGGAGACAUCUUGCUAUGCAAUACAUGGUUGCAUGUGUCUAUGGAUGCAAAUGCUGGAGGGUACCAAAGUAGAGAUGCAUAUUGGGACCGGAUGAAGGAGCACUUUGAUUUACACAACAAGAAAGUGGCACUAAGGAUCGAGAUAGGGUAA